UCCUACGGGAGGCAGCAGUGGGGAAUUUUGGACAAUGGGCGAAAGCCUGAUCCAGCAAUGCCGCGUGUGUGAAGAAGGCCUUCGGGUUGUGAAGCACUUUUGUCCGGAAAGAAAUCCUUGGCUCUAAUACAGUCGGGGGAUGACGGUACCGGAAGAAUAAGCACCGGCUAACUACGUGCCAGCAGCCGCGGUAAUACGUAGGGUGCGAGCGUUAAUCGGAAUUACUGGGCGUAAAGCGUGCGCAGGCGGUUUGCUAAGACCGAUGUGAAAUCCCCGGGCUCAACCUGGGAACUGCAUUGGUGACUGGCAGGCUAGAGUAUGGCAGAGGGGGGUAGAAUUCCACGUGUAGCAGUGAAAUGCGUAGAGAUGUGGAGGAAUACCGAUGGCGAAGGCAGCCCCCUGGGCCAAUACUGACGCUCAUGCACGAAAGCGUGGGGAGCAAACAGGAUUAGAUACCCUGGUAGUCCACGCCCUAAACGAUGUCAACUAGUUGUUGGGGAUUCAUUUCCUUAGUAACGUAGCUAACGCGUGAAGUUGACCGCCUGGGGAGUACGGUCGCAAGAUUAAAACUCAAAGGAAUUGACGGGGACCCGCACAAGCGGUGGAUGAUGUGGAUUAAUUCGAUGCAACGCGAAAAACCUUACCUACCCUUGACAUGGUCGGAAUCCCGCUGAGAGGUGGGAGUGCUCGAAAGAGAACCGGCGCACAGGUGCUGCACGGCUGUCGUCAGCUCGUGUCGUGAGGUGUUGGGUUGAGUCCCGCAACGAGCGCAACCCUUGUCCUUAGUUGCUACGCAAGAGCACUCUAAGGAGACUGCCGGUGACAAACCGGAGGAAGGUGGGGAUGACGUCAAGUCCUCAUGGCCCUUAUGGGUAGGGCUUCACACGUCAUACAAUGGUCGGAACAGAGGGUUGCCAACCCGCGAGGGGGAGCUAAUCCCAGAAAACCGAUCGUAGUCCGGAUUGCACUCUGCAACUCGAGUGCAUGAAGCUGGAAUCGCUAGUAAUCGCGGAUCAGCAUGCCGCGGUGAAUACGUUCCCGGGCCUUGUACACACCGC
rnacentral:rRNA from 1 species